rnacentral:rRNA from 1 species
AGUGAACGCUGGCGGUAGGCCUAACACAUGCAAGUCGAACGGCAGCACAGUAAGAGCUUGCUCUUACGGGUGGCGAGUGGCGGACGGGUGAGGAAUACAUCGGAAUCUACUUUUUCGUGGGGGAUAACGUAGGGAAACUUACGCUAAUACCGCAUACGACCUACGGGUGAAAGCAUGGGAUCUUCGGACCUUGCGCGAUUGAAUGAGCCGAUGUCGGAUUAGCUAGUUGGCGGGGUAAAGGCCCACCAAGGCGACGAUCCGUAGCUGGUCUGAGUGGAUGAUCAGCCACACUGGAACUGGGACACGGUCCAGACUCCUACGGGAGGCAGCAGUGGGGAAUAUUGGACAAUGGGCGCAAGCCUGAUCCAGCCAUACCGCGUGGGUGAAGAAGGCCUUCGGGUUGUAAAGCCCUUUUGUUGGGAAAGAAAAGCAGCAGGUUAAUACCCCGCUGUUCUGACGGUACCCAAAGAAUAAGCACCGGCUAACUUCGUG